rnacentral:rRNA from 1 species
UACGUAGGGUGCAAGCGUUGUCCGGAAUUAUUGGGCGUAAAGAGCUCGUAGGCGGUUCGUCGCGUCGGCUGUGAAAUCCCGAGGCUCAACCUCGGGUCUGCAGUCGAUACGGGCGGACUGGAGUUCGGCAGGGGAGACUGGAAUUCCUGGUGUAGCGGUGAAAUGCGCAGAUAUCAGGAGGAACACCGGUGGCGCAAGCGGCUAACUGGACGGGCACUGACGCUGAGACACGAAAGCGUGGGGAUCAAACGGG